AUGGCUUACUAUUCAGAUCAUCAGGAUUAUGCGAGCAACACUACAAACAACACGGAAAGUGUUCAAGAACUGAUAGGUAAGAUUUCCCAUCGAUUAGAUGAUUUAGCUUGGCAGCGAGAAGGAGUUUUUGAGGAUAGGCCUAGCUCUUAUGAUCCUUAUUCUAGAGGCUAUCCUUAUGUUGCUCCUACCUGCCAUAUUUGUGGAUUUCAGGGCCAUUCGCCCGCUGAAUGUCAGCAUGGUUACUCCCAUCCUCCGGAUUGUUUUGGCAUGAGCUUCGCUCAACAGCAUAGCUCAUACCAAAACAAUUACACACAUGGGUGGCCUGAAAACCAGAAUAUGUCAUAUAGGAGCAAUAACCCUGAGAUCUCAUCGUUUGCUUCUAGUACUCAUAUGUAG
rnacentral:rRNA from 1 species